GAUACUACCCUAGCUGUGUUGGCUUUCUAACCCGCACCACUUAUCGUGGUGGGAGACAGUGUCAGGCGGGCAGUUUGACUGGGGCGGUCGCCUCCUAAAAGGUAACGGAGGCGCUCAAAGGUUCCCUCAGAAUGGUUGGAAAUCAUUCAUAGAGUGUAAAGGCAUAAGGGAGCUUGACUGCGAGACCUACCAGUCGAGCA
rnacentral:rRNA from 1 species